rnacentral:lncRNA from 1 species
UUUUUUUUUUUUUUUUUUGAGAUUAUAAGUUGUAAGGACAGAAAAAAAUGGAGCUGCUUGAAGCAAUCUUUCCUGGCUCAGGGACAAAGCUGUUUUCGGUAGGAAAGAAGAAGGCCUAGGAAGAAAAAGCAAAGACAAGCAAAGCAAAGGACCAGAGAUGAGAGCCCACAACAGAGAGAGAGAGAGAGAGAAUGUGUGUAUGUGUGUGUGUGUGUGUGUGUGUGUGUGUGUGUGUGUGUGUGUGUGUCUUAGUCCAGCAGAAAUUAAGAAUGACUGAGAAUUGGAUUUCUAUGUAGUUGAUAGUUAGGUGUUUAUUGUUUUCGCUUUCAUAGACGAAGAAAUAAAGACACAGAGAUUAAAUAAUCCUCCCAAUAUCAUACAGACAGAAAGUGACAAAGCCAGGAUUUAAUAUAUUUUGUCCCUAAGCCCUUAUUCAGUAUGAAUUCAAAUGGAAUAAUGAGACAAGAAAAAGCCUUUUGCACUGGGGUAUCCCCAAACUUAUCUGGUGUUUGGCCUGAUGGGUAGGAAGUGGGCAGAAGGAGCACAGCAAAAAUUCCCUUGCUCAGGGGGCCCUUCGCCAUCUAAGUUCUCUUCUUUUUUGACUCUCUCCCCCUAGCCUGGUGCUGGGAGGCCUGGUCUUACAGCAUCACACUGUCCCAUGUCUAAGGGCUUUGCAAGUCUGGGCUCUGUGACCUUCACGGCUGAGCUGGCAAAACGUAAAAGUCUUUUCUCUAGUUAUUUGCUCACUUGUUUCUGCUGAUCAGAAAUGAAGGGUUCUUUUUGGAACCUAGGGGUUUCUUUCUUGUUUUGUUCAUCCCUCCCUUCCUUCCUUCCUUCCUUCCCCCAUCUUUCUCUUUCCCUUCCUCUCUUGUCCUUUCUCCUUCCUUCCUUCCCAAGCUAUGUACUUGUUUAUUCUUUCAUUGUGUUGUGUGUCUGCAGGUGGGAGCGCGGGAAGCGCCAUCCUGGUUCUCAGUCCACCGAGUUAAUGAAAUUCCCCAGAGCUUUCCCACCCCCACCUUCCACCCGGUUCUUGGGUCCCUCGGACUGCCUUCCUUCUGACUUUAAGGAAACCUGAACCGUGAGAGUUCUAGAUGCGAUAUCAGGGGUGAGUUUGGAGAAGAGGGUUUGCAGGGCUGGGGAUUGCUCAAGGAUAGAUUGCAGACUGGAGAUGGUGCGUCUGGUCCUGCCUGUAUCCCGAGAAGCAUUGCAGAGAUCAGAUGAACCCUUUCUGUGAUGAGGAGCCCUAAUUAAUGCAGGCACUGAUUUGUUCUUCCCUGCUGAGGACUUCAGAUGAAUGAUUACUGGGUGCCACAUGUGUUAUCUCUUAUGUAUCUUUAAUAAAAAUAAUGAUGGCUACAAUUUCCAGUAGUCUCACCAUGUUCAGGAGCCCUGGGCAAAGCCCUUCACAUUCAUUAUUCCAUUUAACCCUCGCACCACCCGAUUAGGCAACUCUUGGGCAUUAUUUCCCUCACCACGUAGAGGAGGGAAUUGAGGCUCAAAGAAUCUCAGUACAUUUCCCAAGGUCACACUGCUAGAAAGAGGUAAGGUGGGUUUCACACCAGGGCUUGUUUGAUUUCAUAGCACUUAACCACUUGCCAUCGUGCUGUUAUGUUUUAAUGUUAAGGGGAAGUGAGAAAUUUAAUAAUAGAACUUGGGCACGGAAGCAAUAAAAGUGAGGUAGCGCUGUUGCAUCACUCUUACAACUACCCUCUUUCGAGCCCCUUACCUCGCAGAGGUGCUCAGAAUACUGAUGGGGCUGGAUGAGCAAGAAGGGUGUGCCUGGGAAGGCGGCAGGCUCCCCAUUCCAAGGGUCCAGCCAAGUAAGGGAUGCUGUUCCUGUCUCAAGAUCCAGCAAGUAACUCUCAGAGAGCUUUAGGGUCAUGUCAUGGAGGAGAGGGCAAGAGGAGGUGAGCCGGGGUGGGCUGGGAAGAACUAGACACCAGCCAGCUCUGUGAUCUUGGGGACACUCCUUAACCUCUUUGUGCUUGCCUCUGUUUUAUAGCAUGGGGAGGUUAGGCUCUGUGUGUUGCAGGUUCAGGCAGCCUAUGAUGUACCAGUUUUAAGGGAGGCCAACAGAGAAAGCUGUCCUGGAUGACACAGGCCAGGAAAGUUUCUGAGCCUGCCAGGCCCACCUGGGUGCUUGCCUUCCAAUGCUGUGUCAGCUCUCUGGCUUUCUGAUACCAUAUGGUUCCUCUAAACUGUGAAGCAUCGGCGGUCAGCUGUGUCCAGGGCUUUGCUCUGGCAGGGAGGUGAAGGGCUCGGACUCAAGUUCUCAUGCCCUUGCUUAUUCUCUGUGCCUUAGUUUCCUCAUUUGCAAAACGGGAGUAAUCCUGGAGCUUUUCUCGUGGGGUUGUCUGAGGACUGAAGGAAAUAUUCCUGUGAAUUCCUCAGCCUUCUUCCUUUGGCGCAGGGCGCAUGGACCUACUCCUUGGAAGUUAGCUGCCCCCAGCAGGAGUUAGACUUAAGUCAGCAAACAGUGGCUGAGCGCCUAAGAGCCCGCCCCACAGGUCCAUGCUGGGGGGAACGCAAAGAGACCCAGCUGCGGCCCCUUGUCCCAGCAUAGCGGCUUGUGCUCACCAGAAGUGGAUGCUAAGGAGGAGUUUGGGGUGUGGGGUGUCUGUUGGGGAUCAACACCUAUGAAAAGGAGGAGUUGAAAGCAAGAUUGUGCAGAGGAAGAACUAGAAAUGUGACACAGGCCUGAAAAAACCUCGGCCAGCCCAGCAAGAAGCUCUGAAUCAAGAUUUGCCCCUAAGGGCAUCCUGCUUUGGACCAAAAUGGCCCGGCCUUCAUAUCCCUGCAUCACCCACUCACCAGAGGAGGGCCACCCCAGAAAGGCCAUGACCCUGGGCGAGGCAGCUCAGGCAGACCCUGCAGGGCUGUCACCUGCAGGCUGUCUGCACGGCUGGACAGCAGGUCUGCUCUUGAAGGGGGAUCUGAGCCGUGUGAUGGGGUCCUGGCACACUUAAGGAGUUUAUAAAUAGAGGCCAUGGGGAGAUGACACAACCAGAUCACAGGUUGACUGGGGCAAGGUUCCCAGAGCCUGGCUGAGCCAGGGACCGUCAGGCACAACUCAGGUUCCUCUCGAGAACCAAUGGAAAAGUAGGAGCUUUGUGUCCUAGGCCAUGUUGGAGCACUGCAAGCCUACAGAGGGAGGUUAAGGCCAAGGUCAGAAACCUGGGAGAAGAAGAAGCCAGGGCUAGCAGCCCUCGUGUCCUGACCUAUCUUCAGGCCGUGGAUGGGUAUUGGCUGUAUGGCAUGCUGGGGAGCCUGAAGGCCUCAAGGCUAGACAUAGGCCCAAUUACGUACAUAAAAAUUAAAGGGGUGUUAUGAAGGAGAAGCCAAACACUUUCUAUGGCCCCCAGAAGAUACCUGGAAGUAAAAGUGGAGCCAAAUUCUAAAAUCGGUGAGAAAGAUCACACAAAUGGCCCCACUCCUUCUCUGACUCCCUGUUAAUGUGUCUUCUUAUCCUCCCACCACACCGCAUCAUCUGUUAUCUGGGCAUCAGGGUCUUAACCACAGCAAUGAUCUCAACAUGUUAAGCGGGGGGAAUGGCUUCCCACCUUGGCCCUCUUAGAAAUUUGGAGAUACAGGCUGGAGGCAUGUUGGUCAGGGCCUUGCAUGCCCAGACAAGGAAGGCGCACUUACUCUGGCAAGGACUGGGGAGUCCCUGAAGACUUGGGGAUCUGGAGACUGAUGGAGAGAUUGAACCUCAGCUUUAGCAGGCUCCAUUGGCUAGCAGUGUGCUAGAUAUUCUGGAAUAGUGGGAGGCGGGAAGCAGACGCAUAGUACCAGGGGCUCAUUGUCUUGGUCAAGGUGAUGGAAAGGGGCCUGAGCUGCGGGGGAGGGUGGCAGUCGGGAGAGGCAUUGGGUAGGAGAGACACAUGUAAGAUACUGGCCUUUCUGAACCUGGUAAUGAAGAGAAUGGUGGUGGGUCCCUCUAACCACAGUCAGGGGUCUAGAAGAGGAGCUGGUUGGGGGGAAGGGAGCUGGGGAGAGAGAGAAACGGGGAGGGCCUUUCUUUUGGUUGUGAGAUAUUAAUGGGAGGAACAUUCAGAAUUUUUAUGCAUAACCUAGAUUGGGUCUCCCAGAAGGAAACCUUGAGAGGAGGACUAGUGUGCGAGUGAUUGAGGAAGGAAGUGCUUCCAGGGGAGACCCGCAAGGGACAACGGGAAGCAGGAAAAAGAAAAGAGAAGGGAAGGAACCAAGCAGGCUGUGCACUCAGGCAGGUCCCUGCCUGGCCCGAAUCACAGGGCAGCUCUGCAGGGGAGCCCUGUUCCCCGUCUAAGGGAGCCGGGCUUCCGCAGUCCCGCCCCUCACAGUCCAUGACCAAGACUCAGGCCAACUCCCAGGCACGUCCAGCUACCUGCACGGGUGUGCAGAGUGGCUCCCGUCUCCUAGUCUGAGGGCCAAGCCCUCAAAGCAAAGCCAAGGUGCUGGGUGUAUGACGUUAAGAGCGCGGUGAGCCAGCAGGGCGCUCAUACAAAGGGUCAAAAGGGAUCCCAGGGGACCUGGGUAGGGUGCCACCGCUGUCCGCUGUCACGAGGAGCAUUGUCUUGAGAAAGAACAGUGAGUGGCCAGCGAGUGUCCUGGCUGGGCUAAUCCUCGCCCUCCUGCAGCUAUCUGCUGCCUCAAGGAAUGGAGUUUGGAAUCCUAGGCCAGUGUCUCUUUUGCUGUUUCACCUCAGAUUCACCCUUUUCCAGAGAAAAUGAGAAGCCAGAAAGAGCACUUCUCUACGCCGAGCACGUGAUGGGCUGCAGUGGGCCCUGAUGCUCUGCCCUCGGGGGAGAUGUCCACCCAGCCCUGCAGAGGGCUCCGAGUUCCAGCUCAUUGUCAAGGCCAGUGCCACGAGUGCCUCGGGCCCCUGGCAGCCCUCUCCAAGGCAGCCACUUGCCCGCAGUCAGAGACUGGCGCUGGCCCACUGGCUGAUGCUGCUAGCCCAUCAGAGCCUGCUGGAGGACACAGGCGCGCUGCAACCACAUGUGAAUUGCCUUGGCCUGGACUCUACUGAGCUCAGAUCCAAGGUGAAUUAAGCCAGGCCCCGGUGGGGGAGGGGAGGGAUGCCUCCUUCCUGGCAAAUAAAUAACACUGAAGCCACAGGAAUUCAAAGCCGGACUAAAAACCCCCCUUCUCAGACCCUCCCACAUAUGCAGCCCCUCGAUGUGAGUGUUGGGCAAAGCACCGGGGCCAGGGCCUCUGAAACAAAGGGCUUGGUCAGGAUCCCGCUCCAGCCUCCUCUGGCUGCCUUCUGUUCUGAUGGGUCCGCUUCUAAACUGUACCAGUUGUUCGGUAUUUUGCGUCCCAACCCUGCUUAUAUGCACUCCCUGUCGCAACCCCCAUGGCCCUUGCCUGCCUCACUCCUAGAGGAGGGAAGCAGACUUGGCUUUGCCCUCAGCUUCCAAGUAGCCAAAAAGCAACCAGGAAACAGCUGGGAGUCAGCUGGCUUUUCCCAAAGCCCGGCCACCAUCGCUGCUCUGUCCCCCUUGCUGUGGGAGAGCAGUGCCCUGUGAGCUCCACAGCUGCCCACCUCUGGGGCUGCCUCGCCCUGGUGGGGCCAGCCUAGAGCCAAGUCGUCAAGGUGGUGCCUUUCGCCCAUGUGGACCACGCCGACAUCUCUCAACCCCCCUACUUAGCCCCGCUCUCUGUUUUUUCUCAGGUUUGGCAUCCUUCCAAUCCCACAGGAAUUCAGCUGAUAAAUGAAUUCAUACUCAAAGGUUAUUGACUUAAUUUGUCACCCCCAUCCAGGAGCUAUUUGCACUGAAAGGAGGUCCGCCAGGGAGAGAGCGAUGUUUAACUGCAAAGCACGCCUUUCUAGGGGGGCUGAGCGAGGGGGUGGGGGAGAGGGGGUGAGGCAGUGUGGCCUUCAGGCAGCCCCCUUCAGGGCACCACCGAAGGGAGCCUUUUUCUGCACAGAUUCCAGUUGUAGGCAUUCUCCCGCUUGAGUGUGUACAAUGGGAUGGCCUGGGGUGCUUGAGACAGACUACAGAUUCCUGGGCUCUAGAGAGUCGAUUACAUAGGUCUGACUGGGGCCCAGGCAUCUAUAUUUUAAUCCGCUCAUCACUUUCUGAUGAUUUUG